UGGUUCUGGCAUCGAUGAAGAACGCAGCGAAAUGCGAUAAGUAAUGUGAAUUGCAGAAUUCAGUGAAUCAUCGAAUCUUUGAACGCACAUUGCGCCCCUUGGUAUUCCGAGGGGCAUGCCUGUUCGAGCGUCAUUAUAACCACUCAAGCCUCGGCUUGGUAUUGGGGUUCGCGGUCUCGCGGCCCUUAAAACCAGUGGCGGUGCCGUCUGGCUCUAAGCGUAGUAAUUCUUCUCGCUACAGAGACCAGGUGGUUGCUUGCCAAAACCCCCUAUUUUCUAUGGUUGACCUCGGAUCAGGUAGGGAUACCCGCUGA
rnacentral:misc_RNA from 1 species